GACGAACGCUGGCGGCGUGCUUAACACAUGCGAGUCGAACGCUGAAGCUCAGCUUUUGUUGGGUGGAUGAGUGGCGAACGGGUGAGUAACACAUGAGUAACCUGCCUCCUUCUUUGGGAUAACGCCCGGAAACGGGUGCUAAUACUGGAUAUUCACUGGUCUUCGCAUGGGGGUUGGUGGAAAGGGUUUUUCUGGUGGGGGAUGGGCUCGCGGCCUAUCAGCUUGUUGGUGGGGUGAUGGCCUACCAAGGCUUUGACGGGUAGCCGGCCUGAGAGGGUGACCGGUCACAUUGGGACUGAGAUACGGCCCAGACUCCUACGGGAGGCAGCAGUGGGGAAUAUUGCACAAUGGGCGCAAGCCUGAUGCAGCGACGCCGCGUGAGGGAUGGAGGCCUUCGGGUUGUGAACCUCUUUCGCUCAUGGUCAAGCCGCAACAAUGGUUGUGGUGAGGGUAGUGGGUAAAGAAGCGCCGGCUAACUACGUG
rnacentral:rRNA from 1 species